UACUAGAGUAGCACUCGCAUAUCAAUAAGCGGAGGAAAAGAAACUAACAAGGAUUCCCCUAGUAACGGCGAGUGGAGCGGGAAGAGCUCAAAUUUGAAAUCUUAAGGGGUUUCCCUUUACGAAUUGUAGUUUAAAGAAGUGUUUUCUGUUGAGGUUUUGGUAAAAGUUCUUUGGAAUAGGACAUCAUAGAGGGUGAGAAUCCCGUAUUUGACCUUUACUUUCAACUUUGUGAUACACUUUCAAAGAGUCGGAUUGUUUGGGAAUGCAGUCCAAAAUGGGUGGUAAAUUUCAUCUAAAGCUAAAUAUUGGCGAGAGACCGAUAGCGAACAAGUACCGUGAGGGAAAGAUGAAAAGAACUUUGAAAAGAGAGUUAAACAGUACGUGAAAUUGUCAAAAGGGAAGCGUUUGACACCAGUGUUGUUUUUCUGAAAAUCAAUUAAAGAACUGUUUAUGCUAAGCUGUUUAGACUUUAUCAGCUAACUGUUUAGUUUUGAGCUUUUCUUUAAUGCACUUUUCAGUUAACAAGUCAACAUCAAUUUCUUUUGCUGUAAAAAGGCUUGAGGAAGGUGGCUUGAGAUUCGUCUUAAGUGUUUAUAGCCUCUUGCCUAUGCAGUCGGAGAGAUUGAGGUCUGCAGCGUAGAUCCUUCGGGGCUAAAUGCAUUUGUGCUAAGUUAUAGCAUUUUAUAGACAACUUGUUGACUAUGAUUUGUCUUGUAGCUUACUCGCUUAUGUUAUUUUACCUACGCUUAGGAUGUUGAGCGCAUGUCUCUCUCU
rnacentral:rRNA from 1 species